UACGUAGGGGGCUAGCGUUGUCCGGAAUCAUUGGGCGUAAAGAGCGUGUAGGCGGCCCGGUAAGUCCGCUGUGAAAGUCGGGGGCUCAACCCUCGAAUGCCGGUGGAUACUGUCGGGCUAGAGUGCGGAAGAGGCGAGUGGAAUUCCUGGUGUAGCGGUGAAAUGCGCAGAUAUCAGGAGGAACACCGAUUGCGAAGGCAGCUCGCUGGGACGUCACUGACGCUGAGGAGCGAAAGCGUGGGGAGCGAACAGG
rnacentral:rRNA from 1 species